GAUGAACGCUGGCGGCGUGCCUAAUACAUGCAAGUCGAGCGAAAAGACGAGGAGCUUGCUCCUCUGACGUUAGCGGCGGACGGGUGAGUAACACGUGGAUCACCUCCCUAUCAGUCUGGGAUCACUUCGGGAAACCGGCGCUAAUCCCGGAUAAUCUAUUGAACCGCAUGGUUCAAUAGUGAAAGACGGUUUUGCUGUCACUUAUAGAUGGAUCCGCGCCGCAUUAGCUAGUUGGUAAGGUCACGGCUUACCAAGGCAACGAUGCGUAGCCGACCUGAGAGGGGGAUCGGCCACACGAGAACUUAAACACGGUCCAUACUCCUACGGGAGGCAGCAGUAUGGAAGCGGCCGCAGUGGGCGAAAGCCUGACGGAGCAACGCCGCGCGAGUGACGAAGGUCUUCGGAGCGUAAUACUCUGUUAUUAGGGAAGAACAAAUGUGUAAGGAACUAUGCACUGCUUGACGGUACCUAGUCAGAAAGCCACGGCUAACUACGUG
rnacentral:rRNA from 1 species